UACGUAGGGGGCUAGCGUUAUCCGGAAUUACUGGGCGUAAAGGGUGCGUAGGUGGUUUCUUAAGUCAGAGGUGAAAGGCUACGGCUCAACCGUAGUAAGCCUUUGAAACUGGGAAACUUGAGUGCAGGAGAGGAGAGUGGAAUUCCUAGUGUAGCGGUGAAAUGCGUAGAUAUUAGGAGGAACACCAGUUGCGAAGGCGGCUCUCUGGACUGUAACUGACACUGAGGUACGAAAGCGUGGGGAGCAAACAGG
rnacentral:rRNA from 1 species